rnacentral:snRNA from 1 species
AUCCCUCGCGGGUGCACCGCCGA